AGCGAACGCUGGCGGCAGGCUUAACACAUGCAAGUCGAACGGGCGUAGCAAUACGUCAGUGGCAGACGGGUGAGUAACGCGUGGGAACGUACCUUUUGGUUCGGAACAACCCAGGGAAACUUGGGCUAAUACCGGAUAAGCCCUUACGGGGAAAGAUUUAUCGCCGAAAGAUCGGCCCGCGUCUGAUUAGCUAGUUGGUGUGGUAACGGCGCACCAAGGCGACGAUCAGUAGCUGGUCUGAGAGGAUGAUCAGCCACAUUGGGACUGAGACACGGCCCAAACUCCUACGGGAGGCAGCAGUGGGGAAUAUUGGACAAUGGGCGCAAGCCUGAUCCAGCCAUGCCGCGUGAGUGAUGAAGGCCCUAGGGUUGUAAAGCUCUUUUGUGCGGGAAGAUAAUGACGGUACCGCAAGAAUAAGCCCCGGCUAACUUCGUGCCAGCAGCCGCCGUAAG
rnacentral:rRNA from 1 species